GGCUCAGAUUGAACGCUGGCGGCAGGCCUAACACAUGCAAGUCGAGCGGGUUUCGGACCUAGCGGCGGACGGGUGAGUAAUGCGUAGGAAGCUACCCGAUAGAGGGGGAUACCAGUUGGAAACGACUGUUAAUACCGCAUAAUGUCUACGGACCAAAGUGUGGGACCUUCGGGCCACAUGCUAUCGGAUGCGCCUACGUGGGAUUAGCUAGUUGGUGAGGUAAUGGCUCACCAAGGCGACGAUCUCUAGCUGGUUUGAGAGGAUGAUCAGCCACACUGGAACUGAGACACGGUCCAGACUCCUACGGGAGGCAGCAGUGGGGAAUAUUGGACAAUGGGCGCAAGCCUGAUCCAGCCAUGCCGCGUGUGUGAAGAAGGCCUUCGGGUUGUAAAGCACUUUCAGCGAGGAGGAAGAGUUGUGUGUUAAUAGUACACAGCUUUGACGUUACUCGCAGAAGAAGCACCGGCUAACUCUGUG
rnacentral:rRNA from 1 species